GAAUUCGCCCUUAGAGUUUGAUCCUGGCUCAGGACGAACGCUGGCGGCGUGCCUAACACAUGCAAGUCGAACGGAACUUCUUUAAAAGAUUUCUUCGGAAUGAAUUUGAUUUAGUUUAGUGGCGGACGGGUGAGUAACGCGUGAGUAACCUGCCUUCAAGAGGGGGAUAACAUUCUGAAAAGAAUGCUAAUACCGCAUGACAUAUCGGAACCACAUGGUUUUGAUAUCAAAGAUUUUAUCGCUUGAAGAUGGACUCGCGUCCGAUUAGUUAGUUGGUGAGGUAACGGCUCACCAAGACCGCGAUCGGUAGCCGGACUGAGAGGUUGAACGGCCACAUUGGGACUGAGACACGGCCCAGACUCCUACGGGAGGCAGCAGUGGGGGAUAUUGCGCAAUGGGGGCAACCCUGAUGCAGCGACGCCGCGUGGAGGAAGAAGGUUUUCGGAUUGUAAACUCCUGUCGUUAGGGACGAUAAUGACGGUACCUAACAAGAAAGCACCGGCUAACUACGUGCCAGCAGCCGCGGUAAAACGUAGGGUGCAAGCGUUGUCCGGAAUUACUGGGUGUAAAGGGAGCGCAGGCGGGAAGACAAGUUGGAAGUGAAAACCAUGGGCUCAACCCAUGAAUUGCUUUCAAAACUGUUUUUCUUGAGUAGUGCAGAGGUAGAUGGAAUUCCCGGUGUAGCGGUGGAAUGCGUAGAUAUCGGGAGGAACACCAGUGGCGAAGGCGGUCUACUGGGCACCAACUGACGCUGAGGCUCGAAAGCAUGGGUAGCAAACAGGAUUAGAUACCCUGGUAGUCCAUGCCGUAAACGAUGAUUACUAGGUGU
rnacentral:rRNA from 1 species